rnacentral:lncRNA from 1 species
UAGACCAAGGCGGAGUAUGAUAAGGAGUGCAAGAUAUGUACGCGGCCGUUCACGGUGUUUAGGUGGAGACCUGGAAGAGACGCUAGAUACAAGAAGACGGAGAUUUGUCAGACUUGCUGCAAGCUGAAGAAUGUGUGUCAAGUCUGUCUUCUUGAUCUUGAGUAUGGUCUUCCUGUUCAAGCCAGGGACACUGCGCUUAACAUUAGUACUCAUGACUCUAUCCCAAAGAGUGAUGUUAACAGAGAGUACUUCGCUGAGGAGCAUGACAGGAAGGUAUGAUGAAUAACCAACUCUCACAUUAAUUAGUAAGUUAGUUUUUUCACAUGGUGGCUUAUUUAAUUCAAGUGAUUUUUUUUUUGUCUUGUGUAGACUAGAGCUGGACUGGAUUAUGAAUCUUCAUUUGGGAAGAUGCGUCCUAAUGAUACUAUUUUGAAGCUUCAAAGAACAACACCGUACUAUAAGAGGAAUAGAGCACAUGUUUGUAGUUUCUUCAUCAGGGGUGAGUGUACUAGAGGUGAGGAAUGUCCAUACCGGCAUGAGAUGCCUGAAACAGGAGAGCUUUCUCAGCAGAACAUAAAAGACCGUUAUUAUGGGUAAGCUGUUUUCUUCUGUAUGCAUGACUUUGUUGAUGUUUACUUGCCUUCUCAAAUGCUUGUUUCAGUAUCUCCCUUGAUAAAGUUUGUUAAGUUUUACAUGUAUCUGCUAUGGUACUAUUUUCUCUUUGAUCAGUUUAGACAUUCAUUCAUUCUUUGGAAGCCACUAACAUAUAUGAAUUGUGAUGUUCAAUUCUUGAGCUGAACUUAGCUCUAUGUUCGCUUAGUCUUGUUAUAGCCUUUUCUAAUUUUUUUGUUCUCUUAGAGCAUCAACAUUGAGGGUAUCUUAAUGGGUCUCUCUCAUGAAACCUUCAAGUCUUUGACGUUGAUGCUAUUAAUGUAUUAGUCUUUUGACAUAUAUGAUUUCUGAUCGUCAAUUCUUGCGAUGAACUAUGCUAUGUCGGCUCUCAUGUAGUUUCAUUUAUUCAUGUCAAACAGUCGGUUUGAACUAUUUCUAAUUUUCUUUUACAUUUUCGCAGUGUUAAUGAUCCGGUUGCGAUGAAGUUACUUGGAAAAGCUGGUGAGAUGGGCACUUUAGAAUCACCAGACGAUCAAAGCAUCAAAACGCUUUAUGUCGGUGGACUUAAUUCAAGAAUUCUCGAGCAGGACUUACGAGAUCAGUUCUACGCUUAUGGAGAGAUCGAGUCCAUCCGAAUCUUGGCCGACAAAGCAUGCGCGUUUGUCACAUACACAGCCCGUGAAGGAGCAGAGAAGGCUGCGCAAGAGCUCUCCAACAGGCUAGUCGUCAAUGGUCAGAGGCUAAAACUCAUGUGGGGAAGGCCUCAGGCUCCCAGACCUGAUCAAGAUGGUUCGAACCAACAGGGCGGUGUGGCUCAUAGUGGUUUGCUACCUCGAGCCGUUAUAUCUCAGCAACAUAAUCAACCGCCAUCGAUGCAACAGUACUACAUGCACCCACCACCACCUCGUAAAAGAUAAAUCACACGCGGGUUUUGACCUAUUAUUAGGGAUAGAUAGAACCGUCGUCCGCCGUUACCUUUCGUCGUGCUCGAGAUUGAAAUCGAGCGAAUCGCGAGAAAGGAAGAGAGAAAUGGCUCACAGGAUUCUCAGAGAUCACGACGCCGAUGGAUGGGAGCGAUCCGAUUUCCCAAUCGUCUGCGAGUCUUGCCUCGGUGACAAUCCCUACGUUCGAAUGGUGAUUCCUCUUAUUCAAUCUCUCUUGCUCGUUGAUGAGAUUCGAGUGCUUAAACCUAGUAAAAGUUAGAUUUAGAGUUUAAGAAGCUAUCAAAAUCGUUGGAGCUUUGGUUUUGAGAUCCAGAUUCGUCUAGUUACAUUUCGAAUUUUGAUUAUUGCUGAUUGAAGUGUUAUUUGUUGGUGUGUAAACCAAUGAUGAUUCCUCUCUUUCACUCUCUUGCUCGUUGAUGAGAUUUGAGUACUUAAACCUAGUAAAAGUUAGGUUUAGUGCUUAAGUAGCUAUCAGAUUCGCUCGGAGCUUUGGUUUUGAGAUCCAGAUUCGUCUAGUUACAUUUCGAAUUUUGAUUAUUGUUGUUUGUUGGUGUGUAGACCAAGGCGGAGUAUGAUAAGGAGUGCAAGAUAUGUACGCGGCCGUUCACGGUGUUUAGGUGGAGACCUGGAAGAGACGCUAGAUACAAGAAGACGGAGAUUUGUCAGACUUGCUGCAAGCUGAAGAAUGUGUGUCAAGUCUGUCUUCUUGAUCUUGAGUAUGGUCUUCCUGUUCAAGCCAGGGACACUGCGCUUAACAUUAGUACUCAUGACU